CUUAACCGUACGGACCGCCGUGCCCUCGCUACUGCGGCGGCGGGAUGGGAAAAGGCUGGUUCCUAUGGCGGAGAUGGGAAAGGGCUGCUUCGAUGAUAUCGACGCAGGAGUGGAUCCUCCCCCCAGCUGUUGCCCGUCUCCGCCCUCCGUCUUCUCUUUGCCUGCGACCCAAGAAGAAGAGAGGAAACCCUAAAAAAAGGGGUCUCCGACCCCCAUAUUCACUUCGCCUGCGACCCAAGAAGAAGAGUGGAAACCCUAAAAAAAGGGCGGUUUUACAUUCUCCUCCUCCUCCUCCUCCUCCUCUCUUCUUUCUCCUGCACGUCACCGCUGCUCUCAUUAAGCAUCUUCUGAUCCGAGGAAUUAAUUUAAGAUUGACAGUUCUUUGAGGGAGGUCGGAAACACUGGGUUGGAACCUGAAAGCACUUGCAUGACAGAUGGAAGAUGAAGUCACAAGAACAGCCACAAUGGCUUUUACCCAUGCGACCUACCGCAAUAGCUUCAAUUGCUUGGGCUGUGUGAAUGACUUGUCAACUCCCAACCUUGAUCAGGCUUCCAUUUGAAACAGGAUAGCCUCUUUUCAUGCCAUUGUAAUCUGCUCAACCUGGUGGAGACUUCAACCUUGUUGCAUGCUGCUGGCUGCAGUAUCAGACAGUCAGAACGACAUUGAUCACCAGGAACUCCAUUUGCAUAUAUCUACACCUCAGGCAGGGAACAUAUGAAAAGAUUUGUGUACUUCAUAAAGGCUUUAUAUCGGCACGUAUGAAGCACAGCAGCAGUGUUUCUGCAAACCCUCAACACUCCAGAAUCAUUAUUUUUCUCACUCAGAGGCAAUCAUGAUCUGGAACGGGCUUUGUGGUUUUCAUAAUGGGCUGAUUCAUGGAGAGAUCAGAUAGAUUAACGAGCCUAUUUAACUUGAUCUUGGAUUCAGUUUGUAAGGGGCAGUUCCUCCUGAACCAGCUCCAACAGAACUGGAACAUCUGCAGUUUGAUUCAGAAAAGGUCAACAAGUACCACACUACUAGGUUAAUGCAUGAGCGGUAGCUGUAUUCUGCAUCUUGCUCAGUCACUUCUGAGAUCAUGCGAGUCGUAGUAAUUAUGAUUACAAAGAUUGAUUUGCCAACAUUGGCAAAUUGAUGAUUGGGAAAGACCAUAAGAGGCAUCAGAAAUGGGUUUUUAUCAGACCCAGCAGGUGUGGAUUCUAGGGAAGAAUCCAUCAGCCCAUGUGUGCCACUGAAGUAUAACAUCUCUUCUCAUUAACCACAAACUUUUAUCCAUGACAAAAGGCAAAAGAUUCGAUUCUGAUCUUUUGGAGCUGACAAUGAUCCUUGAUAUGGGGCAUGGUAGUGACUACUGAGCUUUAAUGAACAAUUGGAGCAUCAGCCGUGGAUCAUAUGGCAUCACUUGUGGCUGACAGUUCUCUUGGAGAUCACUUGGCACAACCCCUUCAACAAGAGGAAUCAUUCAGCAUUAUCCACAGUCCAAACUAUCAAUUCUAUGCAAAGGUUCUGGGCUAAGACAAGAUAAGAUAGAACAAGAAAGCAUUAAUGUUGCAUGAGAUAGCAAUGCACAAAGAAUUGUAAUGAUCUCCCAAGCACUAGUAUUCUUUUCCUUGUUGGUCGAAGAUGAUGUGAAAUUUGAUCCUCAAGAGUUGUCAGCUCAACAUACAAAUGAUCACUCAAUGCUCUAAGUAUGUUGCAUGAUUGUCGAAUCGUAGAAGACACUGCCAAAUUCCUUGGGCCAGCGAAGAACAUAACACAUCAAAGAGCACUAGCUUUUUUUCCUGCUCUCUUGCAGCAACUUAAGGACCGAUCAAAAGGCAGGACCACAAGUUUAAGCCACCAAGGAACUUAGUCAUGUAGUAGAGUAAGGGGAAAGAUGGAUGAUACUUUGGCUUUUGUUAAAGAGCAUGCCGAGAAUAUUGCUGAUGAAAAUAUUCCAAUUUUAUCUUUGGUUUUAAAGGGAGAAAAACCAAAGACGCGUAAGGAAUACAUGGCUGGCAUUGCCGGUCUAUGCAAAUCAACCAAUCCUUCUCAAUUGAUGCAUAUUUUUCCACUGUCAAUUUGAACAUCAGCACGGAUAUGCAUGAUCAGAGUGCCCUAUUAGGCUUGAAUGUGUGAAACAUAGAAAAAAUGUGGUUUUCGGAGGUCAAAGUGGAUCAAUUCUAUGAACUCAAUUCCAUAAAGUUAGCUGCAGAUAAUUCAAAGAAAGAAAGAAAGCGACUUGAUGGCUUACAAACCUCUUUAGGUGAGUUCCUGCCGACAGAUGGGUGCAUGAUUGCAGAACAAAUUGAUCCUUAUCUCUCCAUACAUGGGAUUGCCAAGGAGCCUAACAAGUUCUUGGAGAGAAGCUGGUUUGAUUUGCCAGAGUCAUGUGAUUAUUCUGGGUUAAUUCUUCAACUAUCUACAUCAAAGUACCUAUCAACAACCUAAGUUUGCACUCUGGUCAGAGACGAAAAGUGUCAUCUAAAAUGGAACAGUAUCUGAACACACCCACAGCUCACUGCCUGCGCACUCCAUAGUUCAACUCUCCCAUAGAGAGCUACCAGAUCUUUCCAAUCUUAAACCUAGUAAAUGUUUUAGUGAUGCGAAGGAGAUGCACACUUGACAUUAUUGAGGUCCACUCAUUGAGGCAUGAAUAGCCACAUCCACUAAGAUAGUGAAGUACACCAUGAGGGAUAUGGAAUGAGACAUCUCCAAUAAAGGCAGAGGGGCGAAACUUGAGAUCUUUCUGUCAGCUUUUCCAGCAAUCUGAUGUCAUUCCACCACCAGGCUCAAGUUGAUGAAGGAUUUCCCGCUAGUCAAUCUGGAAAAUAUUAACUGAUCUGAAUUUGGGCAUAGCAGAACAAACAUUGUUGUUCUUACAGCUGAUGUUAUCAUCUAGAAUUCUUUUCUUUCUUUGA